AAAAUUUUUUACAAAUUUUGAAAAUAAAAAAUAUAAGUUUUUUUUCAUUAUUUUUUUAAUAAAAAACUAAAAUUCAAGCUGCGUAAAAUUUUUUUCGUUCAUUUUUUUUACCGAAUCAAACAAAUAUAUAUAUAUAUUUUUUCCUUUCAACUAAAAAAUUGUUUUUUUUCUUACAAAUCAAAUAAUCAUAAAACUUAUUUUUUUCCACGAAAUUUUUUAUGAACAAAUUUUAUUUUUUACAAUUUUAAACGGAUCCGAAGUUUCGUUAGUGCACAGUUCUUGAGUCUUGACAACAGGCAAGUGGAAGUUGCAGUUGCGAGCUUCUACCUUUUCGAAGCCGAGCUUGCGGCUUCGUCUCAUAGUCUGUACAAAAGGCAAUCUUUACGACACUAAGGCUGUGUUUGGUACCGGCGAUAUUUUGGAACAACACGGGAUAUCCUUCAAGUUGUAAUCAAACAGUAGAAAAACACGAAGGAACGGAUUGUUCCGGUCAAAGCGGAUUGUUCUGGAUUGUUCUGAAACAACCCGUUAAAAAUCAUUCCUAGGAGAACUGAUCUGAAGUUUCGUUAGUGCACAGUUCUUGAGUCUUGACAACAGGCAAGUGGAAGUUGCAGUUGCGAGCUUCUACCUUUUCGAAGCUUGCGGCUUCGUCUCAUAGUCUGUACAAAAGGCAAUCUUUACGACACUACGGCUGUGUUUGGUAUCGGUGAUAUUUUGGAACAACACGGGAUAUCCUUCAAGUUGUAAUCAAACGGUAGAAAAACAUGAAGGAACGGAUUGUUCCGGUCAAAGCGGAUUGUUCUGAAUUGUUCUGAAACAAUCCGUUAAAAAUCAUUCAUAGGAGAACUGAUCCGAAGUUUCGUUAGUGCACAGUUCUUGAAUCUUGACAACAGGCAAGUGGAAGUUGUAGUUGCGAGCUUCUACCUUUUCGAAGCUUGCGGCUUCGUCUCAUAGUCUCUACAAAAGGCAAUCUUUAUGACACUAAGGCUGUGUUUGGUACCGGCGAUAUUUUGGAACGACACGGGAUAUCCUUCAAGUUGUAAUCAAAUGGUAGAAAAACACGAAGGAACGAAUUGUUCCAGUCAAAGCGGAUUGUUCUGGAUUGUUCUGAAACAACGCGUUAAAAAUCAUUCAUAGGAGAACUGAUAACAACUUUAUUCUCCUCUUUAUUUUAUUAAAUAAAUAAAUAUAUAAAUAAAUAUAUUAAUAUAAAUAUUAUUUUUAUGAUAAUAAUAUUUAUACUUAAAUUUUAUUAUAUAAUAUAAAUUAAUUAAAUUUGAUAUAUUAUUUAGUUUAUUAAAUUUAUUAUUUAUAUAUUAAUAUUUAAUUAUUUAUUUUAUAUUAAGUAUUAUGAAUUGAGCUCCUAUGCUUUUAAAAGUACUAAGUUAUUUGUACUUGUAGAUUUUUAGCCAUUGGAUUAAGAGAUAUGCGGUUAGGAUGAUGUGGGCCCCCAAGGGUUUAGUUGGUGGUUGGUUGAAUAGUAUAAUCUAAUGGUUGAAAAUGAUUCGAGGAGUAGAUCUAACGGUAAGAAACUUACAAGCACCAAGUGCUUUGUGCUUUUAAAAGCACCAUAGCUGGACUCUAAGUAUUAUAUAUAUAUAUAAUUAUUUUUACAUGCAUUAUAUAUAUAUUUUAAUUUGUAUUGAAAUUUAUACUAUUAUUAAUUGAAAUUAUAAUGAUAUUGUUACAUAUANUUUUUUUCGUUCAUUUUUUUUACCGAAUCAAACAAAUAUAAAUAUAGUUUCCUUUCAACUAAAAAUUUGUUUUUUUCUUACAAAUCAAAUACUUUAAAUCAUAAAACUUAAUUUUUUCCACGAAAUUUUUUUAUGAACAAAUUUUAUUUUUUACAAUUUUAAACGGAUCCGAAGUUUCGUAAGUGCACAGUUCUUGAGUCUUCCCCGCGCGGCGCUCAAGUGUCGCACACCCGAGCCAGCCUUCUCGAGUCCUCUUCAUGGACAAGUCUUCCAAACUUAACAACGGAAUACCAAUCCAAGCAUUUUACCAAGCUUGCUCCUCCGCGAGACUUACAGCCCGACCCUUCGCCUGUAAUCAAACCCCUCGUCGGACUCCUCGAGUUCCCA
rnacentral:lncRNA from 1 species